rnacentral:rRNA from 1 species
AUGGCGACGGGAGGCGAGGCGGCGCCGGAGGGGGAGGAGGGGGAGAGGGACUGGGCGGAUUUGACGCCGGUGUGCCUGGCGGAGGCGUUCUCGCGGCUGGGCCUGGAGGACCUGUGGCGCGGCGCCAUGGCGUGCUGCCGCUCCUGGCGGGCGGCCGCGCGCUCCCGGCCGGCGCUCUUCGCCGCGCUCGACCUCGGCCCGGCCUUCGAGGCCGUCGGCGCCGACGCCGCCGAGUGGUGGACGCCCGCCUUCCAGCGCCGCGUCGACGCCAUGCUCCGCUCCGCCGCCUCGCUCGCCGCCGGGGAGCUCCGCGAGGUCCGGGUCCGGCACUGCUCCGACGACGCCCUAGCCUUCGCCGCCAAGAGCUCCCCACAGCUCAGCAUCCUUUCCAUCCAAAGCUGCCCGGGCGUAACUGACCGAUCAAUGCUCACUGUUGCGUCCUGCUGUCCUAUGCUUACAGAAUUGGACAUCAGCUACUGCUACGAGGUUUCAUACAAGUCACUCGAGGUGAUUGGGCAGAGCUGCCCUAACCUCGUGGUCCUUAAGAGGAGCAUAUUCAACUGGCUUGAUUCAUCAGAGCAUGCUCGAACAGUUCCAGCAGAGUAUCUAAGAGCAUGCCCCCAGGACGGCGACAGGGAAGCAAUAGCGAUCUCGAGGUCCAUGCCGAAGCUUAAACAACUCGUGCUCAGGUUUGCAAAGCUAUCUGGCGUCGGCCUCAACUCGAUCGCAGAAGGAUGCAAGGAGCUGGAGGUCCUGGACCUGUUUGGCUGUGCGAAUUUGACGAGCAGGGGGAUAGAGCAGGCUGCUGCUAACCUGAAGAACCUGGAGACGCUGGUUAAGCCCAACUUUUACAUACCGAGGUCGGCCUUCCACAUGGAGAGGUACGGGCACUGGCAGUUAUACGACGAGAGGUUCCAGACAAACGUAUUCCAGAUAUGA